AGUGAACGCUGGCGGUAGGCCUAACACAUGCGAGUCGAACGGCAGCACAGUAAGAGCUUGCUCUUACGGGUGGCGAGUGGCGGACGGGUGAGGAAUACAUCGGAAUCUACUUUUUCGUGGGGGAUAACGUAGGGAAACUUACGCUAAUACCGCAUACGACCUACGGGUGAAAGCAGGGGAUCUUCGGACCUUGCGCGAUUGAAUGAGCCGAUGUCGGAUUAGCUAGUUGGCGGGGUAAAGGCCCACCAAGGCGACGAUCCGUAGCUGGUCUGAGAGGAUGAUCAGCCACACUGGAACUGAGACCCGGUCCAGACUCCUACGGGAGGCAGCAGUGGGGAAUAUUGGACAAUGGGCGCAAGCCUGAUCCAGCCAUACCGCGUGGGUGAAGAAGGCCUUCGGGUUGUAAAGCCCUUUUGUUGGGAAAGAAAAGCAGCAGGUUAAUACCCCGCUGUUCUGACGGUACCCAAAGAAUAAGCACCGGCUAACUUCGUG
rnacentral:rRNA from 1 species